UUUUUUUUUUUUUUUUUUUGGAGCAGGGGAGCGAGCUGAGCAUGGAUUUUUCACACCUUCAGUAAAAGCACUAAUCUCUAGGUUUUGGGAAUGGGGAGUCACAAAAGAAGAGACAACACAACCUGUGAAAGAAACAAUGCUCUGAUGUGUUCCUUUGAGGUUUUAGGGAUCUUGUCUGAGAGCUGGGACUGUCCUGUUCCUCUAAGAACAUGAAGUAGAUCUUUCCCAUUUGGAGACAUAAAUCUAACUGAAGUGUGAGUCUCAGCUGCAGACAUCCUGAUUUUUUUUGUUAUUAAGACAUGCAGACAUUUAGCUGACUGAAGGUGAUGAGCUAUGUAAUGGUCACAGUAAGAUAAUUCACGUCAGUGCACACAGGCAGCAACUGUGUAAAGAUUGUGUGGGUGACUUUAUACAACAACAGGAAAAUACAAACUACCUCAUCCUAACUACAAGCAAGCAUUUGGGAGACCUGUCUAGUUGCCAUGUUUCACACAAUUGUCCUUGGGAUUGCUACUACAGAGACAUGUAUUGCAUUUGCAAUUCCCCUUAAUCAGAAGAGAGACAUGAGAUUAGUUCCAAGAGGAUUAUUACUAUUUAUUUCUCUACUUGCUGCUUUUCUGGGUUAUGAUUUAGAUGAAAUUCAGUAAAUUUGUAUUCUUUUUUGUCCUGCAGACUUUUUCAGACUACUUGCAAAGCCACGAACAUCAAGAAGGAAAAAGGAAGGCCAUAAAAAUAGAUACUCUAGAGAAAAUAGAACUAUCAUCAACACACAAUUGAACAAGAGAAAAAUACUAAUUCAUUUGGAACCUGCAUACUUAUUUAAAGAGUUUCAAAAGAACAGCUUUCUCUCUCCCAGACACAAGCAAUUUCCAAACUCUAAAACAGGUUUGGAAUUGUCAUUCACUUUCGGUAGCAUUAGACACAGAGAGCAAGAAGCAGGGGGGUAAAAGCAGAAUUGACACAGAUCAGGAGCACUUAGAACUUGCUAUCUAGAGAAACAUCUGCUUUACUUUCAUCACAGAUUAAUGAAACACCUCACUAAUGUUGUGCAUUUGUGGAGAGCAUGAAGGUCUGUAGGCAGCACACACAUUACAUAGUGCACAUUACUCCUGUGCAUUGCUUUUGAGCAUCACCACCAGAGGCUUUUUAAGACUCUACAGCCAUGGAAUUAGCUGUGGUAUUGCCAGCCAGCUGUGUAUCCUCCAUGGACUUUGGAACAAGCUAUAAAAGUAAAAAGAAAAACAUACUUUGCCAGCUCUUCACAAAACAGAGCCAGCACUUUAAAACCAAGUGGGUCCUUUUCCGCCUGGCAAAUCUUGAGGUCAGCAUCACAGGUCACCACUCGGGAUUGCGUCAGGGACCAACUGGUUGUGUUCAGGCAGCCUUGGGUUGGUCUGGCAGCCUGCAUGAAGUGAACAAAAGCCAGACCAAGACAAGAAGUUGAGGGAAUGGGAUAGGAGGAAAUUAAGAAGACUGUUCCAAAGGCUUUUGAAUUAUGACACCCGUGUUGCUGCAAUACUACUGGAAAACUAAAUUAAUUGCUCCUUUCCUUAGCCCCCUCCUGCUGUGGCUGUAUUUAUUUUAGCUAAGGGCCUGAGACACUAAAGAUGCAUCCAAUUUCCAUGCUGUCCAAAUGCUUGUAAUCACAGAUUUACAAUAAACUGAGACAUCUUGAAAAACAAAGCUGUUCAUUAGGUGGUUCAUGGCCUUCAAAAUUUUCAAGACAACAGAAGUAGUGGGAGGUAACAAAUCUGCCAUAGAGAGGGAUAAUUUCCAAAAAUUUCAGAUCACCUAUUUUUUUAAAAGCAGCAGUCUUUAAUGAACUUCUGUUCAGGAUCUCAAAAGCUGAGGUACCUUGACUCUACAGUCAGUCUAUAGUCACUACUGGAAAAAGAAAAGAUAACUAUCUUUUUAAGAUUUUAGUUUACAGUUACAUUACUGGAAAGCCAAAGGUUUUCUAGGCACUGUAAAACCACAUAAUAAAAGCAGAGCCCAUUUUCUGUAGAAACCAGAGGUUCUGUACUUCACAAUCAAUCUGUUACAUAAAUUGCAAGGAUGUGGCUAGAUGGAAACAAAUUUUAUUUAGUACAUCAUAGCAAAAAUCACCAAAAUUUUGCUCAUCGGAUCUUCGCUUGGCACAGGUUGUCAGAAUCUCAUUGAUAGCACUCCAAGAAAACACUGCUGUUAUUUUUAAGAUCUAUCACCCUUUUUUGAGUAAUUCCGUAGCCAUUAAACAGCCUGUGAGUGCAAUCACAGCUAUGUAUACUACCAAGUUCCCUGUACAGCACAAAGAACUACCUGAAAUUGAAAUGGUAAAGCAUGAGAAGUUCCUUUUGUUUGCCCUUUUCCCCUGAAACAUCCAAUAUGUCUUUUUAAAGAGUGAGGGUUGUUUUCUGUUUCUUCUUACUCUUAUGAGUUUUGUUUCUUCUUAGUUUACUCAUGUAAUUCAUUGCAGACUUCAGACAGUAACCUCUGUAGAAAUUGCUAGUGGCCCACAGACCUAGCAUAAAAUAAAAAGUUACAAGUCUACAUAACCUUAAUUUUAUGGUUAUAAGCUAUAUUUAUUGCAAUAACAUAAGUUUGAAAAGACUGCUAAGUGUUCAGUGUGGGAAUGCAGGGAAUUUCCCUCAAGUUAGUUUUAUGGAGAAAUGUGUUGUUAAACUGUAGGAAAGGUUACAGUCCUUUCAAGUGCUGCAGAGCUGAAUGCCUAUUAGGCAUUUUUAGGGUAUGUAUAAAAUACCCCAAUCACUCCCUCAAUAUCACUCAUUGAAAUUCAGAUUCAGGACCUUUUCUCUGUUCAAGUCACAUUGGUUUUAACACUGUAAAGUAACCUGAAUGAGAAUGUUAUCAAGGAUCAAGGUGGUAGAAUUUGCUCUGUAACGCUUGCCCACCUGGACUUCUUUGACUUGGAAGUGUUUUGCACCGUAGCAUAUAGACAUGGUGCAGCUCAGUGAGUGUACAGCAAAGCUGAGACUUUAUCAACAUGAGAGCUGGGAGUGCUCUUAGUACUUCUAUCCUGAUUUUAUCUAAUGAGUCUGGGCAGGCUACAAUCACCUGGGUGACUCAGUUUCUCCACCUGUAAAACUACAAUGACUACUUUCAAAGACACUGAAUCCUCUUGUGACCUGCCAAAGAACAAAUGCUAAACAAGAGAACGCACUGUGGCUCCACACAUUUCUUGGCCUCUCUCCUGCCCUCGGUCCCUUACUCUUCUCUGCCAAGGUAUGUGCCCACUCACUUUGCUGGGUGACCACACAAUGAGCUGGACUGAACACUGCCUGUAGACUAAGACUUAACAGAAUGCCUGUGUUACAGAGUCAACUUGCUCAUUUGUAUUAAAUCCAUGCACACUUCCUCCAGAAGGUGGAUUGGCACAACUGUUACGUGACGGAACCAGAGAGAAUGUGGAGACAGGGUCAAAAGACCUGUCUGCAUGAUAGGUAAUGCCCUGUCUGCCCCUGAAUGUGUUCCUGAUGUGUCAUAGGCUCAGGGACGAUAGGAGGAAAGAGAGAAGCCUGCAUUGACGGCUAUGAACUGCUCAGGGUGCAGCUUCUUGGUUUGAUACACAGUACACCACCGUCUUUUGAAAAAUCUCCUUUCUUACCUCCAUUAUUUUAAAUUAUGUCUGCUAUCCACAUCUACUGCAAAUGUUGAAAUUUCUCUCUUCUCCUUGUUGCUCACAUUAUCACUAAUUCUGCAUUUAUUUUUUAUAGGAAACAGUUUAUUAUCUUUUACAGAAUGUCAAGAGGAUCUGAACCUGAAACAAGUCUUUGCAAUUCAGCCUACAGGGUCAUCUAAAAAAUAAAAAUAAAUUGUGUGACAGAGAAACUGAGGAACAAAUGCUUUCUUGCAUUUGCUUUCUCCCAUCUGCUUUCUCUUUCAGGCAUUAGGGGUUUUUGUAGUGCAAGGAAAAAUUCCUUUUAUUUUCCAGCUACAGUUUGCUAGCAGCCCCUUUUGGUUUUAAACAACUGAUUAUCUACUCUUCCAGUGGAGGUCAUGAAAUUAUAUUUUAUACUGGCCAAGCAACCUCUUGAAGCUCAGUUUACCUUCUGCCAGAUUUCUGAAAAACAGUAAUGUCAUUCUGCAAUGCCCUCUGCUGGGAGAUGCAGCCUGGAGCUCGAAGGAGAGUUACCAGUUCCCAUCCUCCAGCAAGGAACAGAUAUUUGCAAUGAGAUGGACUGGAUUUUCACCUUCUGUAUGAAAUCCUGACCCUGCUGCAAUCAAUGAAUUCCUAGCUUUUUAUUUUCACUUUGCCCAUGAACAUUCUUCCUUUUGAAAACUGCACUGGAAAAAAACCUGUUUAUUUCACAUCCAAAUGAAAACCUCAUUACUCACAGACAUGAAGAUCUCUUUUUAGCAUUUGAGCUCUAGAGGGAGGUUUUAUGAAGAAAAAGUCUUUCAUCUGAAAAAUUCUUUGUUCUUCUUGCCAUUCUUUUAAGUCUUUUAACUGUAAAAGCCUGUACAAAAUCACACAUGCAAAUGGCAUUCAUGUUGCACAAGUGUGAUUCUGCCUAACAAAUAUUUUCACUGACCAGGGUUCUUGUACUGAGAAAAGGAAGCUAUGCAGUGAAACAAAGAGCUGAUAUGCAGUGAAAUAAAGGAGUGUGUCAGGAACCUGAUGUGUGACAAUGCCAGCCCUGCCACCUGCCACAUCUGUCUAUCUGAGUUACAGAGAUCCUGGGUCCUCAGGAAGAAAAAUCUGAACCUGCCCCACUGAGGAGCAGGAUAUUAGUGUGGAGUUCACACAAACAGCACCUUCAUCUCCACGUGCACACUCACACCAUGCCGCUGAGGCUUAUGGCAUAGUUUCUCCUAGUUCACAAUUCUUCUGGAGAAUCAUCCCUGAAAAAUAUUUUCCAGCCUUGGCAAGGGUGAUGGAACACUAUCUUUGCUUUGGUUUCAGCUCCCUAAGCUAGGCUGGUUUUACAUGGUGUUUGUCUCUCACCACAGCUGUGCAAUGGGCAGCAAGCAGGAAGAAUUUUUCCACAGUAGUCCCCAGUCCUCUGUGCUUAAUGCUUUCUCCUUCCUACUCACGUUCUCAUAGCCUAGAUCCCUCCUGGCAGGCCAAUUAUCUUAUAUUUACUACUACUUAUUAUUUAUAUCUGUUAAAUGGAAACAUUUUUACCUUGUGAUAUGUUCUCUGCACUGACCUGCUUUAUCACCAUGUGCGUCCCUCUGCUCCACUUUACAGGGCCUGACACCCUUGGUGCCAGAGAAUGCAGGUGCAGUAAAGCUGCACAGUGACUGGCAACACCAUUUUUAUUUGAAGUUACACAUAAUUAUCAUUGAUUUGGAAGUGUGACCUCCUUGUUACACAGCCUUACAAGCUGACAGUUUUUUUCCAGAAACAACUUUCCAGUGUUUGUUAUGCCCGCACGGAGAUCAAAAUGUCAUGGUUAUAAGAAGCUUUGAGGAUUAUGUCACGUUCAUUAAAAGACCCCCAGACAAGUAUUUUUGUGUUUUGUAUACUGUCCUGAAAAAUCUUCUGCUUCUCUUGGUAAGCACCAGGUCACAUUCAUUUGAAAAUGAGCAUGUAUGUUUACAAACAUCCAAAAGUAAGUUGACCCCUCACAGCAAAGGCUAUGAUUGUCAUUCUGGACACUUACCUGUUUUUCUCAGGAACAGUUUCCUUUACAAGAGAACUGUGUAGCCCAGGCAACAGGUGGUGGCUGCUCACAUACUCUAACCUUGAAAUUAUUGAGAGGAAGGUUGGAAGAAACUGGAAGUUUUUCCAGUCCUCAUGCCCCUCAUGGGUAAGGCAGCUGUGCCAGCAAACUGAACUGAAAAUCCACCCUCUAAGCUGGCACCUUCAAUGGAAGGAUUGACAGUGAAGUCCAGGACUGGGAUAGCCUCCAGCUUAAACUGUCCUUUGAUCCAAGGCUGUCUCUCAACAUCACAAACCAGUGUUAUAUGAGGAAUCUUGCACACACUGUUCAUUUUGCUGCCAAAAGGCCUUUCAGUAAGUUGUCUCCUAAUAAAUAAGUUGUCUCCCAAUCUGGUAUCUUUAGUAGAAAAAUUUCAUUCACAGGAACGUUUGCUAGUGGUUAAAUAUAUGGCAAAAAAUCUAGAUUUAGCCGUGAAUUUUCUCAUGUUGAUGCACUGUACUGCUAGUAAGAAAUAAGCAGUUUCACUCAAAAUGAUGUUAUACUGGAUUGUGAUAAGAAACAGGGUUAGAGUAAUAUCCUGUAACUGGGAGCAACGAGUUGUACAGCUCUACAUAUGCUGGAGGCAGCAGAACACCUUGGGGAGAGGCAGUCACUGCAUUACCUCCAUCCCAACUUCUGGGGCAAGAGAUUGGAAGGCAGAAAGGCCUGCAACAUGCUGCCACCAUAUCAAGAAGAAGAGUCCUCCCUGCAAUCAUUUCCCUCUUGUCUGGCAAUGGGUAGCACUAAGAAACGACUUUGGUGUUACCUGGCUCUGCUGACCUCUUAUCAUUCAUUACCUGAGCCCCCAAGGGUUCAUUGUUCAGAGAAGAGGGCUGAGAAGAGUUCUGGUCAGCCUCAAUUUAGGGUCACUUUUGUUCCCAGAGAAAAGAGAAGAUGGAAAUAAACAACCUGCCCUAGAAAAAAAUGUUUUUGUCUUUAUCACUGUUGUGGCAAAAUCCAGUUUUAUAGCAUCACUGAGAAAGCUUUCAGUAGCUUAAGGACUAGAGAACAUUAUGGCUUCCACCCAGAACAGCCUGGGUGUCCAGGCUUCCAGCCUUCUGUCCCCUCUUCCUAAAAAUAUAUUAAGAUAGUAUAAAAAAAUAUAUUAAAAAAAAAAAAAAAA
ensembl:lncRNA